rnacentral:ncRNA from 1 species
GUAACAUAUAUAUAACAAUAUUUUAAUUUUAUAGUGAACUGGGAAAUGUUCCUUGUGAACAUCACUUGGACAUGGCCGGUUAGUCGAUCCUAAGAGAUGGGGAAUCCUUCUAUCAAGGGUGCACUCUGCAUGAACAUCGAAAGAUAAUUGGGUUAAUAUUCCCAAACCAGGACAUGGUGGUGGACGACAAUGUUGGGAAAUCUGGAGAUGUCAUCGGGGGCCUGGGAAGAGUUAUCUUUUCUUUUUAACGACUUUCCCACCCUGAAAUCGGUUCAACCGGAGAUAGGGUCCAACAUCUGAAAGAGCACCACACGUCUUGUGGUGUUUGGUGUCCCCUCGGUAUCCAUUGUAAAUAUGGUGAACUGAGUACCAUCCAUGCUCGAUCGUACUCAUAUCUUCCUCGGAUUUUUCAAUGUCCACUA